GACGAACGCUGGCGGCGUGCUUAACACAUGCAAGUCGAACGGAAAGGCCCUGCUUUUGUGGGGUGCUCGAGUGGCGAACGGGUGAGUAACACGUGAGUAACCUGCCCUUGACUUUGGGAUAACUUCAGGAAACUGGGGCUAAUCCCGGAUAGGAGCUCCUGCUGCAUGGUGGGGGUUGGAAAGUUUCGGCGGUUGGGGAUGGACUCGCGGCUUAUCAGCUUGUUGGUGGGGUAGUGGCUUACCAAGGCUUUGACGGGUAGCCGGCCUGGGAGGGUGACCGGCCACAUUGGGACUGAGAUACGGCCCAGACUCCUACGGGAGGCAGCAGUGGGGAAUAUUGCACAAUGGGCGGAAGCCUGAUGCAGCAACGCCGCGUGCGGGAUGACGGCCUUCGGGUUGUAAACCGCUUUCGCCUGUGACGAAGCGUGAGUGACGGUAAUGGGUAAAGAAGCACCGGCUAACUACGUG
rnacentral:rRNA from 1 species